rnacentral:rRNA from 1 species
UACGAAGGGUGCAAGCGUUACUCGGAAUUACUGGGCGUAAAGGGUGCGUAGGCGGCGCGGUAAGUCGGGUGUGAAAUCUCGGAGCUUAACUCCGAAACUGCAUUCGAUACUGCCGUGCUUGAGGACUGGAGAGGAGACUGGAAUUUACGGUGUAGCGGUGAAAUGCGUAGAUAUCGUAAGGAAGACCAGGUGGCGAAGGCGGGUCUCUGGACAGUUCCUGACGCUGAGGCACGAAGGUCAGGGGAGCAAACGGG